rnacentral:rRNA from 1 species
CCUACGGGCGGCAGCAGUGGGGAAUAUUGCACAAUGGGGGAAACCCUGAUGCAGCAACGCCGCGUGAGUGAGGAAGUAUUUCGGUAUGUAAAGCUCUAUCAGCAGGGAAGAGAAAAGAAGGUACCGGAAAAAGAAGCCCCGGCUAACUACGUGCCAGCAGCCGCGGUAAUACGGAGGGGGCAAGCGUUAUCCGGAUUGACUGGGUGUAAAGGGAGCGUAGACGGAAAGGCAAGUCAGAAGUGAAAGCCCCAGGCUCAACCAUGGGACUGCUUUUGAAACUGUCAAACUAGAGUACGGGAGAGGUAAGCGGCAUUCCUUGUGUAGCGGUGAAAUGCGUAGAUAUUAGGCGG